AGAGUUUGAUUCUGGCUCAGGAUGAACGCUGGCGGCGUGCUUAACACAUGCAAGUCGAGCGAAGCAUUUUGAAGUUUUCGGACGGACGAGUGACUGAGCGGCGGACGGGUGAGUAACGCGUGGGUAACCUGCCUCAUACAGGGGAAUAACAGUUUGAAAAGACUGCUAAUGCCGCAUAAGCGCACGGGACCGCAUGGUCCAGUGUGAAAAACUCCGGUGGUAUACGAUGGACCCGCGUCUGAUUAGCUAGUUGGUGAGGUAACGGCCCACCAAGGCGACGAUCAGUAGCCGGCCUGAGAGGGUGAACGGCCACAUUGGGACUGAGACUCGGCCCAAACUCCUACGGGAGGCAGCAGUGGGGAAUAUUGCACAAUGGGGGAAACCCUGAUGCAGCGACGCCGCGUGAGUGAAGAAGUAUCUCGGUAUGUAAAGCUCUAUCAGCAGGGAAGAAAAUGACGGUACCUGACUAAGAAGCCCCGGCUAACUACGUGCCAGCAGCCGCGGUAAUACGUAGGGGGCAAGCGUUAUCCGGAUUUACUGGGUGUAAAGGGAGCGUAGACGGCGAUGCAAGUCUGAAGUGAAAGGCGGGGGCUCAACCCUUGGACUGCUUUGGAAACUGUAUUGCUAGAGUGCAGGAGAGGUAAGUGGAAUUCCUAGUGUAGCGGUGAAAUGCGUAGAUAUUAGGAGGAACACCAGUGGCGAAGGCGGCUUACUGGACUGUAACUGACGUUGAGGCUCGAAAGCGUGGGGAGCAAACAGGAUUAGAUACCCUGGUAGUCCACGCCGUAAACGAUGAACGCUA
rnacentral:rRNA from 1 species